UGUAAAAUCUUAGUGGCGGACGGGUGAGUAACGCGUGGGUAACCCGCCUUACACUGGGGGAUAACACUUAGAAAUAGGUGCUAAUACCGCAUAAGCGCACGAAGCCGCAUGGAUUUGUGUGAAAAACUCCGGUGGUGUAAGAUGGACCCGCGUCUGAUUAGCUUGUUGGCGGGGUAACGGCCCACCAAGGCGACGAUCAGUAGCCGGCCUGAGAGGGUGGACGGCCACAUUGGGACUGAGACACGGCCCAAACUCCUACGGGAGGCAGCAG
rnacentral:rRNA from 1 species